rnacentral:rRNA from 1 species
UACGUAGGGUGCGAGCGUUAAUCGGAAUUACUGGGCGUAAAGUGUGCGCAGGCGGCAGAGCAAGUCGAGUGUGAAAGCCCCGGGCUUAACUUGGGAAUUGCGCUCGAAACUACUUUGCUGGAGUGUGGCAGAGGAAGGUGGAAUUCCACGUGUAGCGGUGAAAUGCGUAGAGAAUGUGGAGGAACACCAAUGGCGAAGGCAGCCUUCUGGGCCAACACUGACGCUCAUGCACGAAAGCGUGGGGAGCAAACAGGA